rnacentral:lncRNA from 1 species
CAGUAAUGUCAGCCUUUUCUAAAGCUUUACGUUCUUCUGCCAGAUGUGAAGCAAUCAAAGCAGCAGGAUCACCAGCUUUUUGAAAAGUAUCCUCAGUAUUCAUGGCAUAGAAGGGAAUUGCGUUCCCUUCAUCGUCAAAGUAAACUUUAUCUGCGCUCUUUUUAUACUUAAGCAUAGCCUUCUUAGAUGACGCCAUUUUCUCUUUUCUUUUUGAAUUUGCAUUAAACCUCUCUCCAGUUUCCUCUGGUAAGUCAUGAUCAACACGCUUCACUUGCAGGAAGUCACCGUCAUCUUCGUCUGAGUUGACCUCCACAAGCCUUUGCCUAUGAGCAGCUAAAACGUCUUGAUUUUUUCUUUCAAAAAUACGAUCAUAUUUGGUACGCACAUUCUGUUUAUUUUCAACAUCAACCUCAGAUUCUUCUGAUGAAUCUAAAGAAGUGGAGGAGUUGUAGUCUUUCUGAGAUUGAGAAUGAUUUUUCAAUUUACCAAACGUGAUUUUUGGAGUCCCGGGCAAACCAAGAGAAUCAGCAAAUGCUUCAACAGGAAGUUUGUCAAGUUGAAACACAUCUUUAUCUUUCUGAAGAUAAAUAGAGCGAAGAUAAGAGAUGAAGGCUUUUUGACCGAUGUACUUUAUGUCAUUAUCUUUAAAACAAAGGUUUUGUAAUUGAUUACGAAUGCUAGUUUUCUUCCCAUCUUUAACAUUAAUUCUUUCAACAGCUAUUUUUUUCGAUUCCAGACGCUUCAAAAAAGCUUCUUCGGAAGGAAGUAGAAGCAAUAGAGCAUUUCCGCUUCUAUUAUAACGAGCUGUACGUCCAACUCUAUGAAUAUAAGUAUCAACAUCUUCAGGCGCAUCCAAUUGAAUAACCCAAUCUACAGCUGGGAAAUCCAAUCCACGAGCGACAAUGUCGGUGCAGAACAAAACAACGUGACGAGAAGAUGUAAACUUAGCAGUAACCUCCGUUCUAGUUGUUUGCUUCUGUUUUCCGUGCAAAUGUAAAAGUGAAAUACCGGGUCGCAUGCGCCGAAAAGUUUCAUACACAAAACGGACUUGCUUACAAGAAGACAAGAAAACAAUUGUCUUAAACUUUAGAUGCGUACGAAUGAAACCAAACAGAAUAUCCAGUUUCUCGGUUAAUGGAACAGUAAGAUAAAACUGGUUGAGGUUACUAGGGGUACUCGAUGUAUCAUUUUCGUGAACUGAAAUGAAAUCAGGAUUUUGAAGCGACAACCUAGCCAAGUCUUUAACAGAUUUUGUCUGAGUGGCAGAAAACAGCAUAGUCUGACGAUGAACAGGAAGGCUGGAAACAAUGGCAUCUAGCGUAGUGCGAAAUCCCAUAUCAAGGAUUCUAUCAGCUUCGUCUAAUAUCAACAUUUGUAAACCUGAAGUAUCAAAAUUUACAGCUUGAUCAAUGUGUUGUAACAAUCUCCCAGGUGUACAGACAAGGAUAUUCAUACGAGAAAGACGUUCUUUUUCUUCUUUAUAAUUAUUUCCUCCAAUAAUCAGACCAGCCGAAAAGGAAUGUAGACGGCCUAUUUUUACCAACGUUUCGAAUGUCUGAAUUGCCAAUUCUCUCGUAGGCGAAAUGACCAAUGCUCCCAAACCAUCAAGAGAGGUCCAUUUUUUUCGAUAUAAAUUUUCAAUCAAAGGGACGAUAAAGGCUAAGGUUUUUCCACUUCCUGUUUUCGCAGCACCUAAAAUAUCACGGCCCUUAAGUGCUGAAGGAAUACAUUGUUUUUGAAUCUCAGUUAGUGUUAUAAAAUGUGCAUUUUUCAAUGCACUUUUUGUAGGUUGAGUAAGAGGUAACUCUGCAAAAUGAUCAACAGUUUCAGAAAGUGCUUCAAUUUGAGAGUUAAGUUCUUCAAUUUCUUCUUCUUCUUCUUUUCUCUUUUUUUCACGGGCUUCUCUACUCCUUCCAGUACGAUUCUUAGGCAUUCUGUAGGUUUUGCAGAUUUAAAAAAAAUAUAAACCUAUGGUGGACAGCUAAGGGUUACAAACUCGGUAUUCGAGCGAAGUGCUUUAAAUUAUUAUUAUUGCGUUAAUGUGAAAUUAGCUACUAUAGUAAAUAUUCAAUUAUGUUUUAUGUCAG